UACGAAGGGUGCAAACGUUGCUCGGAAUUAUUGGGCGUAAAGCGCACGUAGGCGGGUUCAAAAGUCGGAUGUGAAAUCCCUCGGCUCAACCAAGGAAGUGCAUCCGAAACUGUGAAUCUUGAGUACCAAAGAGGAUCGCGGAAUUCCCGGUGUAGAGGUGAAAUUCGUAGAUAUCGGGAGGAACACCAGUGGCGAAGGCGGCGAUCUGGGU
rnacentral:rRNA from 1 species